AUUGAACGCUGGCGGCAUGCUUUACACAUGCAAGUCGAACGGCAGCACGGGCUUCGGCCUGGUGGCGAGUGGCGAACGGGUGAGUAAUACAUCGGAACGUACCCAGUAGUGGGGGAUAGCCCGGCGAAAGCCGGAUUAAUACCGCAUAUGCCCUGAGGGGGAAAGCGGGGGACCGAAAGGCCUCGCGCUAUUGGAGCGGCCGAUGGCUGAUUAGCUAGUUGGUGGGGUAAAGGCCUACCAAGGCGACGAUCAGUAGCUGGUCUGAGAGGACGACAAGCCACACUGGGACUGAGACAGGGCCCCGACUCCUACGGGAGGCAGCAGUGGGGAAUUUUGGACAAUGGGCGAAAGCCUGAUCCAGCAAUGCCGCGUGUGCGAAGAAGGCCUUCGGGUUGUAAAGCACUUUUGUUUGGAAAGAAAAGGUUUGGGUUAAUACCCUGGACUGAUGACGGUACCAAUCGAAUAAGCACCGGCUAACUACGUGCCAGCCGCCGCCGUAA
rnacentral:rRNA from 1 species